GUUUACAUGUUUAAUAUACAGGUGUACGUAGGAGUGUAGUGAGAAACACAAAUUAAAGUGAAGUACAGAUUGGACAUAAUUUUAAAGAAGAGCUCAAAGGUACAUUCCUUAACUCAUUACAGAUAAAUUUACCAAAAAUAUUAAAUAAGCUAGUAUAAUGGGCUGUAAAAUGAACAUCAAAAAUAUGAAAAAGAAGAUGUUGUAUAAUUGCCAAUGAGACAACUCUCCACAAGAGACCAAGUGACACAGAAAUUAACAGCCUAUUUCCUUUUCAGUUCCGCACCAAAGGCAAACUAGUGGAUAUUGAUUUUUAUUAUCAACAAUUAUCUAAAUUUUAAAAGAAUCUGUAAAUAAGUAAUUCGAUAUACACACAUUUAAAUAGCUCCAAAUUUCCUUUUACUAUCAAACCAUGAAUACCUAUUCACUUUGCGAGUUGCUGCAUGGAUGAUGCUACCUUUACAUAUGCUUAUAAAUUUUGAAUACAUUGUUUACAUGUUUAAAGUACAGGUGUACGUAAGAGCGUAUUAGAACCACACAUAAAAGUGAAGUAGAGAUUGGACCUAAUUUGAAAGAAGAGCUCAGAGGUACAUAACAUUAAGUCAUUCUUAAAAUCAUUAUAGAUAAAUGUGCCAAACAAAUUAAACAAGCCAUUACAAAAGACUGUCACACGAAAAGUAAAAAUAUGAAAAAGAAAAUGUGAUAUGAUUGCCAAUAAGACAACUUAAAAAAAAAGAAAACAAAUGACACAGAAAUGUAGAGUAAAAUGACACAGAAAUAAACAACAUGUUUCCUUUUCAGUUCCGCAUCAAAGGCAAAAUUUGUGAACAGGCUAGUGGCUUAAGAAAAAAAAUCAAUUUGAAUUUGAAGUAUUGACAGUUAUCUAAAUUUGAUAAAAACCGGUUCACAAGUAAUUCGAUAACCACACAUAUAAAUAGCUCCAAUUUUCAUUUUACUAUCAAACAUGUGGGUUGUUGCAUAGCAGAUGCUACUUUACCAAUGCUUAUAAAUUGUGCAUUCAUAGUUUACAUGUUUAAUAUACAGAAGUGUAUUUAGCAGCACAAAUUGGCUCAAAUGUACAUCCUUAAACACAUUAUACAUAAAUGUACCAAACGAAUUAAAUACGCCUUUAGAAUAGACUGUCAAACGAACAACAUAUAUGUGAACAAGAAGGUGUGGUAUGAUUGGCAGUGAGAUAACUCCACAAUGACACAGAAAUGAACUACAAAAUGACACAGAAAUUAACAGCUAAGCCAGAGUUUGUGAAAAGACUACCGGUACUGGCUAUUGAAAAAAAUAUAUUUUUAAAUAUCAACAAUUACCUUAAUUUGAUUAGGAUCGGUUAAUUAGUCUUGGAUAUACAUGCAUAUAAAUAGCUAAAUUCUCGUUUUACUAUCAAACUAGGAAUACCAGACGUGAUUAUUGACAAAUUGAUGUUCACCUGCAACUUACAUAACUAAUGUAAAUUAGAAUUAAAGUAAUGUAGAGAUUGAACCUAAUUUGAAAGAAGAGCUCAGAGGUACAUAACAUUAAGUUCUUACAAUCAUUAUACAUAAAUGUACCAAACAAAUUAAGAAAGCCAUUACUGUCACACAAAAAGCAAAAAUAUGAAAAAGAAGAUGUGAUAUGAUUGCCAAUAAGACAACUUAAAAACAAAGAGAACAAAUGACACAUAAAUGUAGAGUAAAAUGACAAAGAAAUAAACAACUUGUUUCCUUUUCAGUUCCGCAUCAAAGGUAAAAUUUGUGAACAGCUAGGCUAGUGGCUUUUGAAAAAAAAUCAAUUUGAAUUUGUAGUAUUAACAGUUAUCUAAAUUUGAUAAAAUCGGUUUACAAGUAAUUCGAUAACCACACAUAUAAAUAGCUCCAAUUUUCAUUUACUAUCAAACUUGUGGGUUGUUGCAUAGCAGAUGCUACUUUAACAAUGCUUAUAAAUUGUGCAUUCAUAGUUAACAUGUUUAAUAUACAGAAGUGUAUUUUGAGAAGCACAAAUUAAAGUACAGAUUGGAAUUGAUUUGAAAGGAGAGCUCAAAGGUAUAUUCUUAAACACAUUAUCGAUAAAUGUACCAAACGAAUUAAAUAUACCUUUAGAAUAGACUGUCAAACGAACAGCAUAUAUAUGAACAAGAAGGUGUGGUAUGAUUGCCAGUGAGAUAACUCCACAAUGACACAGAAAUGUACUGCAAAAUGACACAGAAAUUAACAGCUAAGCCAAAAUUUUUGAAAAGACUACCGGUACUGGCUAUUGAAAAAAAUAUUUUUGAAUAUCAACAAUUAUCUUAAUUUGAUAAGAAUGGGUUAAUUAGUCUUGGAUAUACAUGUAUAUAAAUAGCUUAAUUCUCAUUUUACUAUCAAACUAGGAAUACCAGACGUGAUUAUUGCCAGAUUGAUGUUCACCUGCAACUUACAUAACUACUGUA
rnacentral:lncRNA from 1 species